rnacentral:misc_RNA from 1 species
GAUGAAGAACGCAGCGAAAUGCGAUACGUAAUGUGAAUUGCAAAUUCAGUGAAUCAUCGAGUCUUUGAACGCACAUUGCGCCCCCUGGUAUUCCGGGGGGCAUGCCUGUCCGAGCGUCAUUGCUGCCCUCAAGCACGGCUUGUGUGUUGGGCCCCGUCCUCCGAUCCCGGGGGACGGGCCCGAAAGGCAGCGGCGGCACCGCGUCCGGUCCUCGAGCGUAUGGGGCUUUGUCACCCGCUCUGUAGGCCCGGCCGGCGCUUGCCGAUCAACCCAAAUUGUUAUCCAGGUUGACCUCGGAUCAGGUAGGGAUACCCGCUGAACUUAAGCAUAUCAAUAAGCGGAGGA